GAUAAUACUAAUAGACAUGGAGGCAUAGUCAAAUCAGCUGUUUUUCAAAAUUUAACAAAAUUUUAUUUUUCUUGACUAUUUGUUAGCAUUCAUAUUUAAUUUUUGAAUUAAAAUAAAGCUUUAGUUCUUUACCAUCUUUAUCCAAACACGUACCAUCCCUUACCUGAGCCUCACCACCACCACCGUCUCAAACACCUCUAACGCUUCCUCCUCAUUCUCUGUCUCCUCUAACACCUAGAUCGGCAGGCUCCCUCUCUCUUCACUUUGCCUUUUCCCCAAAAUUAAAAUUACGUAUAAUACUUUUUUUUCUCAGGUUGCAUGGUUGAUUUUGCUGGUUUGGAUGUAUUUGGGUUCAUAUGUUUGCAAGUUGAUUUUGCUGGUUUGAAUGUAUUUGGGAGUAUUUCUCUGCAGUCAAUCUUUCAUGCUUGGUCCCGGUGGCACUUUCUUUUCUGUCUCUUCUUCUUCUCUUUGUUCCGGUUCCGGUUCCGGUACUCGGUUCUUACAGGGGUGGAACCGGAACCGUACAGUAUCGGUUCCAGGUUUUCGGAACCGGAACCGACCCUGUGGCAGACGGUUCCGGGUAGGAACCAGAACCGAAACCCGGGUACCCUUCGGUUCCCGUUCUACCCUAUUUUUUUGUCCACCCCUAAUUCUUGACAAUGAAAAGGCUGUUAUUGGUCUAGUUGGAGCUGCUUUGGCCCUCCAGGUGGUGGGAGUGGGACCUGCCUCAGCCGCUGAAUUGCCGUUGUUGGCCUCAUCUUUGCAACUGAGUGAACCAUCCAAUGCCUUGUCCUUGCCCACCUGGGCCGUGCAUGUCUCCAGUGUUGUUGAAUGGAUUACCGCAAUGGCUUUAGUGUGGCAAUAUGGAGAGAAAUCUGGUUAUGAAGCAUGGAAAGGUCUUUCAUGGGGAAUGGUACCCCUGCUUGGUGGAGCAUUUUGCGCAUGCACAUGGCAUUUCUUUUAUAAUUCUGAGUCUCUUGAGGUAUUGGUGGCUCUUCAAGCUAUGCUUACAGUGAUAGGUAAUGCUACAAUGUGUUAUGCUGCAUUUCGAAUAUACAAAUCGUCAGAGGAACGGUCGUAGAAUCUGUAAAAUUCCUGUAUCAUGAUAUAAUCAUGUGCUUGAAUGCAUAUCCUUCUUGUUUAUCAGACAUAUCCAUAAUGAAGCUUUUGCAGGAAAAAGGGAAAUGGGAUGUUGGAAAUGUCCUUGAUUGAUGACAAAGCCGAUUUUCGUGGGGCUAAAAUCUCAAAAUUGGAGGUAAUUCUUUGCAAAAAAAGUAAUGGAUUGUGAUCAUGUAGUUGUUGAGGAGGAAUUGAUGGAGUCAAAUGCCAUAAUGUGUUAAGCAGUAUCCGAAUGAAGAAUUAUUUUUUCUCUUUUUGAAUAGCUGUAACUUGUCAAGAAACAACUUUAUAUAUGAAUGGUGUUGAUAUAUAACUAUAAGAGACCGUUGUAUAUUUACGGUCUUAUACAGAGUAA